rnacentral:tRNA from 2 species
GCCUCGUUAGCUCAGUGGUAGAGCACUGGUCUCGUAAACCAGGGGUCGUGAGUUCAAUCCUCACACGAGGCA